UCUUGUUCACCAAACGUUUGUGUCUGAAUCAAAGAGCAUGAUGAUGGGGCUGAAGGUCACUCAGUACUACAUCUUUGUUAUAAUGUUAACCAAAGGUGUCAGCAGUGAUGAGAUCAGACUGGACCAGUCUCCUGCUGUGGUAAAGAGACCUGGAGAAACUGUGAAGAUCUCCUGUAAGAUAAAUGGAUAUUCAAUGACGAGCUACAACAUACACUGGAUCAGACAGAAACCAGGGAAAGCUCUGGAAUGGCUUGGCUGGAUGAAUACAGGCAAUAAUGAUGCAACAUAUGCAGAGUCUGUGAAGAACCAGCUCACCUUUACAGAAGACGUCUCAGCAAGCACACAGUACUUAGAGGCCAAGAGUCUGAGGACAGAGGACACUGCGGUUUAUUACUGUGCCUGAAGUUCUACAGUGACUGGA